rnacentral:rRNA from 1 species
GACGAACGCUGGCGGCGUGCUUAACACAUGCAAGUCGAACGGAAAGGCCCUGCUUUUGUGGGGUGCUCGAGUGGCGAACGGGUGAGUAACACGUGAGUAACCUGCCCUUGACUUUGGGAUAACUUCAGGAAACUGGGGCUAAUACCGGCUAGGAGCUCCUGCUGCAUGGUGGGGGUUGGAAAGUUUCGGCGGUUGGGGAUGGACUCGCGGCUUAUCAGCUUGUUGGUGGGGUAGUGGCUUACCAAGGCUUUGACGGGUAGCCGGCCUGAGAGGGUGACCGGCCACAUGGGGACUGAGAUACGGCCCAGACUCCUACGGGAGGCGGCAGUGGGGAAUAGUGCACAAUGGUCAGAAGCCUGAUGCAGCAACGCCGCGUGCGGGAUGACGGCCUUCGGGUUGUAAACCGCUUUCGCCUGUGACGAAGCGGGAGUGACGGUAAUGGGUAAAGAAGCACCGGCUAACUACGUG